CCUCAGCUCUUUCUUCCCGUUCACAGGGAGCCGCCAUCCUGACUUCUAUGGGAGUCCCUUCCUAGCUUCCUCCUUUUCAGCCUGAGUAUGCUUCCUGUUGAAGGGGGUAAUCAAGAGGACAUGACCAUUGGUUGACCCUUGAGCUAGACUCAGGACAACAACCCACCUGGGAUUUGUUUAUGGUGUGAGGGUGAUUACCGCCAUGAAUUAGCUGACACCUGUAUCCUGCCGCAUAAUUACCAUUUCUUUUUU